GAGAGUAUAGCUCAGUGGCAGAGCGUGUUCCUAGCAAGUACAAGGUCCUGGGUUUUAUCCGCAGUACCUCCA
rnacentral:tRNA from 1 species